CAGCCGCCGCGGUAAUACGAAGGGUGCAAGCGUUAAUCGGAAUUACUGGGCGUAAAGCGUGCGUAGGCGGUUUGUUAAGUCUGUUGUGAAAUCCCCGGGCUCAACCUGGGAAUGGCAAUGGAUACUGGCAAGCUAGAGUGUGUCAGAGGAUGGUGGAAUUCCCGGUGUAGCGGUGAAAUGCGUAGAGAUCGGGAGGAACAUCAGUGGCGAAAGCGGCCAUCUGGGACAACACUGACGCUGAGGCACGAAAGCGUGGGGAGCAAACAGGAUUAGAUACCCCCUAGUCCCUGUCUCUUAUACA
rnacentral:rRNA from 1 species